rnacentral:rRNA from 1 species
UGGGAACGUACCUUUCAGUUCGGAAUAACCCAGGGAAACUUGGGCUAAGACCGGAUACGCCCUUUUUGGGUAAAGAUUUAUCGCUGAGAGAUCGGCCCGCGUCUGAUUAGCUAGUUGGUGAGGUAAAGGCUCACCAAGGCGACGAUCAGUAGCUGGUCUGAGAGGAUGAUCAGCCACACGUGGGACUGAGACACCGGCCCAGACCUCCGUACGGGAGGCAG